rnacentral:tRNA from 4 species
GGCGUCCGUGGUGUGGUGGUCUGCACGCCAGGUUGUGGUCCUGGAGGUCCUCGGUUCGAUCCCGGGCGGUCGCCC